rnacentral:rRNA from 1 species
GAUGAACGCUGGCGGCGUGCCUAAUACAUGCAAGUCGAGCGAACGGACGAGAAGCUUGCUUCUCUGAUGUUAGCGGCGGACGGGUGAGUAACACGUGGAUAACCCACCUAUAAGACUGGGAUAACUUCGGGAAACCGGAGCUAAUACCGGAUAAUAUUUUGAACCGCAUGGUUCAAAAGUGAAAGACGGUCUUGCUGUCACUUAUAGAUGGAUCCGCGCUGCAUUAGCCAGUUGGUAAGGUAACGGCUUACCAAGGCAACGAUGCAUAGCCGACCUGAGAGGGUGAUCGGCCACACUGGAACUGAGACACGGUCCAGACUCCUACGGGAGGCAGCAGUAGGGAAUCUUCCGCAAUGGGCGAAAGCCUGACGGAGCAACGCCGCGUGAGUGAUGAAGGUCUUCGGAUCGUAAAACUCUGUUAUUAGGGAAGAACAUAUGUGUAAGUAACUGUGCACAUCUUGACGGUACCUAAUCAGAAAGCCACGGCUAACUACGUG